rnacentral:rRNA from 1 species
UACGUAGGGCGCAAGCGUUGUCCGGAAUUAUUGGGCGUAAAGCGCGCGCAGGCGGUCAUUUAAGUUUGGUGUUUAAUCCCGGAGCUCAACUCCGGGUCGCACUGAAAACUGGGUGACUUGAGUACAGAAGAGGAGAGUGGAAUUCCACGUGUAGCGGUGAAAUGCGUAGAUAUGUGGAGGAACACCAGUGGCGAAGGCGACUCUCUGGGCUGUAACUGACGCUGAGGCGCGAAAGCGUGGGGAGCAAACAGG